CUAAGCGCAAAUUUUAGCUAUUUUUUUUAAAUAGCAUUCAUAUUUUCUUUUCUUUCCCUUCAUUUUAAGAAAAUCAAACAAAAAAUCCCCACACUCCAUCAUCAUUGCUUGCUUCUGCAGACAUGCACAUUGGCAGACUCCUCACUGAAAAGCCAGGUGACCAAAAUGAAGACAUCAAUCUGCCACUACCACCUAUAAGAACCAGGGGAGGAGCAGUCAAGCUGUCAGUAAGGUGCAUUUCAUCCCACCCAUGAUGGAUGCUUCAAGUAAACACAGUAAAGAAGGACCUGAAGCCCGCUGGAGAUUUACUACUCUGAGCACUUACACUUUGCCCACAAAACCAGAUAUGGCACAGAUAUUAGCAUUAUUCUGGUCACAUCCUUAAGAACACAGCAAUCUCAAAUUUAAAUGAUAGGUUAUUUUAAAGACUUUGUAUCACCGCAAAAUAUGUUUCCUGUCACAUACACCACUCUGGCAUCUUCAUCCCAAUGUCAAACUUUCACUUCUACCCAAGUAACUUUCACUCUUCCUUCACUGUAAUGUUUUCUUCUCCCUCCAUAUCUUAUUUCAGCAAUCACAGCAAACUACACAAAUAUUCUUAAUGUCCUUGUAUUUCCACACCCCUUGCUUCACCCCUCCACUACCUCUCCUCACAGCUGGGUCCAUUAACUCCUAUUUCUCCAACUCUGGCAACAGUUACUGCACGAGCUGCUCAGUUUGAAAUACAACACAUUUGUGAGCACACGCUAACAAGACGUGUGAGCCUCCUUGACACCACUUCAUGACUUCUGGACAGCCAGUUAGAUGGCCACGAGGAUGAUGAACCAUGGAAAAGGACCACACUGUUCAACAGUAACAUGGCUGCCUAUCACAGCAAAAACUCAAGUGAAUGAGCAUUGCAGAAGAGCAUGUUGUUAUAGAAGCGUUAUCAAGAUGUAACUUCAAAGAGUCACAAAGUAAGUGUGGUGUACAUAUAUUUAUUCAUUUAUAUGAACCUGUGUAUUAUUUAUUAAUAUAGCACACAAAGAGGAAAGAGACAAUUCAAAUAUUAGAAAGCUCCACAGGUAACAAAACUUCAUCUAGAAUUGAUGCAAAUAUAUUGAGCUUAGCUAUCGGAAUAAUUAAGUUUCAAUGCCAAGCAAUUCAGGGUAGAGAUAACUUAAAUCACACUGAUGUGACUGAAUAGUUUUUGGCUGAGGUCACAUAUCUAAGGCUUGCUGUCUGCUUAAACAGUUCACCACAGAGCACUUCUUAUCACAUACUGUUUGUGCGACACAUGAGAAAAUACUUUCACUCCUCUGAAAGCUUACAGCACCUAAUCUAAUUUAGAAAUUAUGGCUGCAGCAG
rnacentral:lncRNA from 1 species